UACGAAGGGUGCAAGCGUUACUCGGAAUUACUGGGCGUAAAGCGUGCGUAGGUGGUUUGUUAAGUCUGUUGUGAAAGCCCCGGGCUCAACCUGGGAAUGGCAAUGGAUACUGGCAAGCUAGAGUGCGGUAGAGGGUAGUGGAAUUCCCGGUGUAGCGGUGAAAUGCGUAGAGAUCGGGAGGAACACCAGUGGCGAAGGCGACUUCCUGGACCAAUACUGACGCUCAGGUGCGAAAGCGUGGGGAGCAAACAGG
rnacentral:rRNA from 1 species